GUUCCCGCCGGGGACGGCUGCAGCAGCCUGGCUGGGCCCCGCGCAACCUGUGGAGGUGCUGUCCUGUCCCGCUCCCUGCGGGAACGGCCUGUAUGGCGGGGAGAAGCGGCGUGGUGGGGCCCGGCCUGCUCCGUCGGAAGUGGGCCACUUCAGUGCAAAGUAAUAAAGCUUCAUGUUUUCACAAUCACCAGUCCCAAACUGUGUCAACAUCAUUAUAUUUGGCAGUAACUGUGAGUGAUGCAUCCAUCCAGCGGCAGGGAGGACAACGUGGUCUGAAGCAGCAUCGUUGCUGGGUAACCACCUGCCGAAAGCACCAAAGAGCAAGGUGAUGGAGCCCGCAGCAUUGCAUCUCAGACAAAUGGGUGCUUCACGGUCAGCCCGAGGAUCAGCUCAACGUGGACCCCUCCUGUGCAGCAGCCGCAACAUCACGCGCUCGGCCCUCUGGUUGUACCGUCUGAGAAGUUUGACUCUUUCUCAUCAUGGCAAUUGAUGUUGUGCUCUUCACACGUGGUUUUGGAGCACUCUGAGUCCAUCAGCAAGAUGCAAACCUAUUCUGGCCAAGUGAACAAGGACCUGACCCUGUAUCCUCAACACUGUGGCAGAAGAACUCAAUGGCGCAAGAACUCAUUUAUUUAUGAAAGCAUUCCUAUUUGGAUAUAUUUAUCAUGUAACUUUUUAUGAUGUUCUGGGACUCUGUCAUGUGGUAUACUUAAAAUACAUCUUGGGAUUCUGACAUAUUUGGAGCUGGGUCAGAUGUGGAGCUUGGCUCCAGAUCAGAAUCUCACUUAAGUCUAGUUGUGGUAUGAAACCCUAGACUAGGGUUUGUAUUCAAAUUAAACAAUACUAGAAUCCCGCAAGCUGUUCUUGUAAGAGCUCAGCUAUAUUUGGUGGCUACCUGAGCAGCUGAGGCUUUAAAUAAAGUCAGUAACGCUUGCUCGACU